UACGAAGGGGGCUAGCGUUGCUCGGAAUUACUGGGCGUAAAGCGCACGUAGGCGGAUCGUUAAGUCGGGGGUGAAAUCCUGGAGCUCAACUCCAGAACUGCCUUCGAUACUGGCGAUCUUGAGUCCGGAAGAGGUGAGUGGAACUCCUAGUGUAGAGGUGGAAUUCGUAGAUAUUAGGAAGAACACCAGUGGCGAAGGCGGCUCACUGGUCCGGUACUGGACGCUGA
rnacentral:rRNA from 1 species